rnacentral:rRNA from 1 species
GACGAACGCUGGCGGCGUGCCUAAUACAUGCAAGUCGAACGCAGUGGGGACGGGUGAGUAACACGUGGGUAACCUCCCAUCAGAGGGGAGAACACUUGGAAACAGGUGCUAAACCCAUACGGAUGGAUGGACCCGCGGUGCAUUAGCUAGUUGGAGAGGUAACGGCUCACCAAGGCCACGAUGCAUAGCUGCCCUGAGAGGCUGAUCGGCCACACAGGGACUGAGACACGGCCCAGACUCCUACGGGAGGCAGCAGUAGGGAAUCUUCGGCAAUGGAAGAAAGUCUGAUCGAGCAACGCCGCGUGUGUGAAGAAGGUUUUCGGAUCGUAAAAUUCUGUUAUUAGAGAAGCGGUAUCUAACCAGAAAGCAACGGCUAACUCCGUGCCAGCAGCCGCGGUAAUUC